GAGCCUGAGCUCCGCCCAAAAAUCAGGCUUCCACAGCGUUACGCAGCCGCAGAUGUGAAUGAUGUUCACGGAUGUAGUUUCUUCAGGCAUCGGAGCAAACGGCUGAAACACCACAGAAGAUGAAAUGAAUGAUCGUCCAAGGCAAAAUGUGCUUGAACUGGGACAAAGAAUCAUCCCGUGGAGAAGACCCACAAAGAUGUGCAGCCGGGUCGGUGCUUUCCUUUCCGCCGGAAAGGUUGGAGUGGUGGCUAUCUCCCUCUGCCUUCAAAAAAAGUUUCACUCAGUAGCUAUCUUUUAUGGAGAGAGAGAGAGAGAGAAAAAGAACUUAACUAUAUUAGAAACUCACACAUAUUUUUUACGUUUGUUAAAAUUUGCAGAAAGGUUUUUGCGAGCGACCCAAUUAAAGCAACAAUCAUAAUGACAGACUCACUAUUUAAAUAAGAUUUGAUUUGUUUUAUUCAACAAAGUUGUUAAGCCUUUACAAUGAGGUCAUACAGUAUUUCUGCCCAAAUCCACAUAAAGAUACAGAAAAUGACAUAAAGAGUGGAAAACAGCACACAGAGUAAAUAGAAAUAGAUGUUAAAAAUGUAGAAAGAGAUUGAAGAUUACAUGUCCAGAGGUUAAAAUUACAAUUACAUUACAGCAUUGCCAUAAAAUAAUUGCUUUGUUCCGAAAAAUGUGUGUUGGGUGAUCCUCAGAAAAAGUCCAUCUGGAGAACUGGGAAAGGCAUCUCAGUGUUUGGAGAAUAGUCGAUCGGUAAGCGGUUGAAAUAUGCGCCAUCAGCAUGUCCGAAGUGUCUCGAGUCCGCAGAGUGUCGUUGGCUCGGUGUUUCUUCAAUAUCGGAGCUGUAGCAUUGUCGGUCGAAGUCUGGUAGCGAAGUCGUUGUUCCUCAAAUGAAUCUGCGUAUAAUGCGCUCCAGCAGGAACUGCCAAACAAGUUGUAACAUCUGCUGCCAGCAGGUUGCAUUCUGCGCUGUCGUAGUCGGCGAGCCUGAGCUCCGCCCAAAAUCAGGCUUCCACAGCGUUACGCAGCCGCAUAUGUUAAUGAUGUUCACGGAUGUAGUUUCUUCAGGCAUCGGAGCAAACGGCUGAAACACCACAGAAGAUGAAAUGAAUGAUCGUCCAAGGCAAAAUGUGUGAGCUCUGCAAGCUUUCCAUUCAAUUUAUAGGCUAUGACAGGUUACACAUUCCCAUGAAAUUGUCUUUCAGUUAGACACUGCUGCGCUCAUGGGUAGCCAAACACACCUAAUGUAGGAUGAAACAGCGCGGUAUUAAAGUGUUCGCGCAGCGCUGAACGGUCAUAGGUGCGGCUCAAGGAACCGAGCUGCGCGACCGACUCCACGGCGCGGAGAGGACGUGUUUAACAGCGCCACCGAACUGACAGCGCCGCGCGAACAUACUCUUCUUCUAAUAACGUUUU
ensembl:lncRNA